GAAAUGCGAUAAGUAAUGUGAAUUGCAGAUUUCAGUGAAUCAUCGAAUCUUUGAACGCACCUUGCGCCCCUUGGUAUUCCGAGGGGCAUGCCUGUUUGAGUGUCAUUAAAUUAUCAACCUCAUCAACUUUAUUGUUGCAUGCGGCUUGGAUGUGAGGAUUGCGGGCUCCUUGUUGAGUCGGCUACCUUUAAAUGCAUUAGCGGAACUUUUUGCAGGACCGUCUUUGGUGUGAUAAUUAUCUAUACCGUUGAUGUGCCAGCCCUCUUGUUUAUAUAUAGAGGUGUUCAGCUUCUAACUGUCUCCUUUUUGAGACAAACAUUACCUUUUGACUUGACCUCAAAUCAGGUAGGACUACCCGCUGAACUUAA
rnacentral:rRNA from 1 species